UACGUAGGGUGCAAGCGUUGUCCGGAAUCACUGGGCGUAAAGGGCGCGUAGGUGGCGCGGCAAGUCAACGGUGAAAGCUCGACGCUCAACGUCGAGUCGGCCGUCGAUACUGCUGGGCUUGAGCACUGUAGAGGCAGAUGGAAUUCCGGGUGUAGCGGUGGAAUGCGUAGAGAUCCGGAAGAACACCGGUGGAGAAGGCGGUCUGCUGGGCAGUAGCUGACACUGAGGCGCGACAGCGUGGGGAGCAAACAGG
rnacentral:rRNA from 1 species